GCAAGUCGAGCGGACAGAUGGGAGCUUGCUCCCUGAUGUUAGCGGCGGACGGGUGAGUAACACGUGGGUAACCUGCCUGUAAGACUGGGAUAACUCCGGGAAACCGGGGCUAAUACCGGAUGGUUGUCUGAACCGCAUGGUUCAGACAUAAAAGGUGGCUUCGGCUACCACUUACAGAUGGACCCGCGGCGCAUUAGCUAGUUGGUGAGGUAACGGCUCACCAAGGCGACGAUGCGUAGCCGACCUGAGAGGGUGAUCGGCCACACUGGGACUGAGACACGGCCCAGACUCCUACGGGAGGCAGCAGUAGGGAAUCUUCCGCAAUGGACGAAAGUCUGACGGAGCAACGCCGCGUGAGUGAUGAAGGUUUUCGGAUCGUAAAGCUCUGUUGUUAGGGAAGAACAAGUGCCGUUCAAAUAGGGCGGCACCUUGACGGUACCUAACCAGAAAGCCACGGCUAACUACGUGCCAGCAGCCGCGGUAAUACGUAGGUGGCAAGCGUUGUCCGGAAUUAUUGGGCGUAAAGGGCUCGCAGGCGGUUUCUUAAGUCUGAUGUGAAAGCCCCCGGCUCAACCGGGGAGGGUCAUUGGAAACUGGGGAACUUGAGUGCAGAAGAGGAGAGUGGAAUUCCACGUGUAGCGGUGAAAUGCGUAGAGAUGUGGAGGAACACCCAGUGGGCGAAAGGCGACUCUCUGGUCUGUAACUGACGCUGAAGGAGCGGAAAGCGGUGGGGGAGGGGAACAGGAUUAGAUACCCUGGUAGUCCACGCCGUAAACGAUGAGUGCUAGUGUUAGGGGGUUUCCGCCCCUAGUGCUGCAGCUACGCAUAGCACUCGCUGGGGAGUACGUC
rnacentral:rRNA from 1 species